UUUUUAUUGUUUGUUUUUUUUUUUCAGGGACUUGUUGUUGCAGUUCUGUUCUGUUUCUGCAAUGGCGAGGUUCAACAAGAAAUACUGAAGAGGUGGAAUAGACAGAGAACCAUUCGCCGAUUCAGCACGAUUUCCACGAAAUCAACCCGAACCAUGUCGCUGGGUUCUACAGUGUUUGUAAAAGACAAAGCAGUUCCGUCUGCCAUGUUUAGUGACGUCACCUUAAACGUCAACAUUGAUGACAAAUCAACCUGUCACGUGGGAUUAAAAGACUCCCAGUGUAACGGGGAGAUAGUGAAUAACAAUUCUAUUGGAAAUCCGGGUAAUGGAAAGGUGAUUACAGAAGAGGACACGUUAUUGUGAUUGUACAGUUACCAAAUGUUUAUAGUGAUUGGAAUUUAUUUUAUUUAAAUGUUACAGUGUUAUCAAAGAAGAUAUUAUGACACAUGCUCUGUUUUGUUGCUGUUUAAAUAUACUCAUCCAUACGUGAUAUUGUUUUCCUUA